rnacentral:rRNA from 1 species
AGAGUUUGAUCAUGGCUCAGAACGAACGUUGGCGGCGUGGAUUAGGCAUGCAAGUCGGGGGUGCCAGCAAUGGCAACCGGCGUAAGGGGCAGUAAGGUGUGGGUACCUACCUCGGGGUCCGGGAUAGCCAUCAGAGAUGGUGGGUAAUACCGGAUGACCUCGCGAGAGCAAAGAUUCAUCGCCCCGAGAGGGGCCCACAUGAUAUUACCUAGUUGGCGGGGUAACGGCCCACCAAGGGGAAGAUGUCUAGCGGGUGUGAGAGCACGACCCGCGCCACUCGCACUGAGACACUGGCGAGACACCUACGGGUGGCUGCAGUCGAGGAUCUUCGGCAAUGGGGGCAACCCUGACCGAGCGACGCCGCGUGUGCGACGAAGGCCUUCGGGUUGUAAAGCACUGUCGAGGGGGAGAAAGGCCGCAAGGCGUGAUCUAUCCCUGGAGGAAGCUUCGGCUAAGUUCGUGCAGCAGCCGCGGUAAGAC